rnacentral:sRNA from 1 species
UCAACAAUAGAUAGACGACGAAAUGUUCUUCCCAAAUGUGGAACAUACAAUAUCUUUGGGUCCUAAUUCCCGGCAAAAAGAACAUCAUCACUGUUAUUUCAAUGAAACAAUCCUUCACAUGACUCUCGCAUAAUAUCCAUGGAUAAUGUCGCUUCAUGCGUCAAUAGCUAGAGAAAUAAUCACCAUGCAACACUUUUAAUCGCGGGAUUCGAAAACAGCUGAACGGAAGCUGAACUGAAUCCAACCCAUUAAUAAACCCACACUCACUCCCACGCUCUCCCAUCCCCCCUCAGGGCUUCCAGCUCUCGUCCUCUCGACUUACAACAACCUCCUGCGCAUCCAGCCGAAAAUCCACAAUCUCCCUCCCAUUAACCAAAUCAUUCUCCACCGCCCUCCGAUCCGCUUCCUCCUCAUCCUUCGCAAUUCCAGCCCUAACAUGCCUCGCAACCAAUCUCUUCCGCGCCGUCUCAAAAUCCACCUCAACAAACCACAACUCAUCCAUCAGCGCCGCCGCCUCCUUCCACGGUUCUUUACCAAGACUCAGAUAAUUUCCCUCGAAAAAUAUCACCCGCGACGUCGCGGGGAUGGGCACAUCAUCCUCCACGGGGUCCUUGACGGCAUGGUCGAAACUAGGCGCGUACAGCGUGCGGGAUUCCGGAACCAGCGGUUCCCGCAGCGCACGCACCAGUCGGAGGAAUUUCGCGGGGUCGAAGGUGAAUGCUGCGCCACGUCUGGCGAUCGCAUAGGCAGGUUCUGGCAUCGCAGCGAGCUGGGCGCGGGAGAAGUGAUAGCCGUCCAUUGAAACUGAGGUUGCAAUGGGCGCGGUUACGUCGGGGCAAGUAGAGGAGUAGCGUUGAUUUAGUCGUCUGGCCAUGGUGGUUGCGAGGGUCGUCUUGCCGGAGCCCGGAAUGCCACUGAUGGCAAUCAUGAGACGCGCGGAGGGUGGAGUGGAAAGGAAUUUGGCUACGUAUACGUAAGGUUAUCUCAGGGAAAUAUUCUAGAUCCCUAUAGUACAUACAGGUUUUGGAAGGGGGAGUUUGGAAAGAGGGUUGUUGUGUUCGAAACUUACCCCAUGCCUUGUCAACGAGCCUGCUGACCUGCUCUUCCAUCCUUCUAGAUACACACUACUCUUCUUCCAAAGGGUGAUAUGCGCUUAAGUAAAUUUUCGCUCAAAUAUAGUAAAUCAAUCGGGCGUACAAGGAAGUUGGCGCACGACGUUGAGGCGGCACAGGAAUAAGCAAAUUUGAAGAAAGAGCAAGCAUCACCAAGCCACAAAGAGAGAAAUCAAUGAAAUAUUAUUUCUUGCAAAAUAAUGCGACAGCGACCAUUGGUAUAUAGAAUGUUCUGCAGGCCACUCGUGCCUCCAAGGGGCCCCAUAAUGUCCGGAGUAGACCCCUCCGUUAACUGGAAAUCCCACACAAGCCUGGGAAUGCUCGGGGCCGCCCCACGUUUGGAUUAAGUCACACGAGAAGAUGCCGGCGCGGCGGAGCUACUGUCGGCCCGAACUGUCAGGCAAUGGACAACGAAGUAUCUUCCAAGCAACACGCGAAUACAAAGGAAAGUUAAAGGGCAUGAAAGGAAUCAUUCACUUUUGGGAAGCCCCUUCAUGGUAUUCUCAUGUGUCUCGCGAGCUGCAUGUGAGCAACAAGUUGGAAAGAAUGGAGACAUUGCGAAGCUUUUAUUCAGCUAUGAUAAAAUAAAUCAAGUGCUUGUUUUACAAAUGCCUUCCAGAUCACAUGAAGCAGCUAUCUAGAGAAUGAGAUUCCUUCGUCACUGGGGAAGCCGAGGAGUGGAUCCAAGCCAAUCCCUCGCUGAUGCGCCUUCUCGAGAAUCCUACCGAGGAUAACUGUAUUACCUUCUUGGAGGUAUUCAGGGACCAGUUCCCUGAGAAGAGCACUGAGGAUAAGGUGUCCUGUGAGGCGGAGAUGGCGAAGUUGCUGCAAGGAGAGAAUGACUUGACUGAAUAUUACCAGCUGGGUGUCAAGAUCCUGAGAUGGUUGAGUAUCAAGGACCAGGUUGCAACCACCCCUACGAUGGGUAAGAAACCGAGAUCCUUCUCCUCGAAGCCUUUAUAGAGAAGUGGAUCAGAGGACUCGGUAGGGCAAGGACUAGGACCAAACUUAUUGAGGUUUCUGACGAGCUGCCUACGCUCACCUCUGCGUAUCACAAGGCGUUAAAUAUUGAAA